rnacentral:rRNA from 1 species
CGGAACACGUACGCAACCUUCCCAAAACAGGUGAAUAGCCCUCCGAAAGGAGGAUUAAUACACCGUACCAUAAUUGAGUGGCAUCACUUUAUUAUUAUAGGCAGCAAUGUCGGUUUUGGAUGGGCGUGCGCCUGAUUAGGUAGUUGGCGGGGUAACGGCCCACCAAGCCUCCGAUCAGUAACUGGUGUGAGAGCACGACCAGUCACACGGGCACUGAGACACGGGCCCG